CCCUGUCAUAUCGUGCGAUCACAGGAGAAAAGAUUUUAAGGGGAGGAUAUCGGUGUGACCCUCGGGGGCCGUGUACAGCUGAACAUGCUGUACCUCUUCCUGUUUGGAGCCAUUUAUCUUAUCCAGUGUUAUCAGUCGUUUUACUACGUUCUUACGAAUGUAGCACACGAACCGAAUUACAGCCUUCCACCGCAUAAUACAACACACCAAAAAAACUACCGAAAGCCGCAGCUCUUCCCAAAACAAGUUUCCAGUGUCACCGGCUUUGAUGGAUGGGUUCCCAUUGGUGUCCCGUGGGUUACGGAGGGGGGGAAGAGCCGGCCUCCUCAGAUCUCUCAGCAGAGAGCCGAACACAAUGGAGGACGGCUAUGCGCUCCGUACGAGCGCAUGUGGCAUUCGCAGGAAGCCAAGACUACAGGGUGUGCUCUCUGCAAAGAUCCGAUUUCCACAUUCUUCCCUUCUGCCACACCUAACUCCUUAAUUGUCUGGCCACAGACAAAGUAUUUUGAGACCACACCGUGGCGAGCCAGUUCUGGAUGUUUCGUUUGGGCCGGCACCAGAAGCUUUGGUCGAGAUCGGUCGGGGCUUGCGUGCAGGACUUCUCGGGAGGAGGGAAAGCAAGUGAGAUUAUUCGGGAGCGUUGAUGCUAAACACGCGGCGUUACUCCGGCAUUGAUAUCAGCGGAUUGUGUCUUGACGUCACUUGCAAAUAGGUGUAUUGAUUCAAUGAAAAUAUUCAGAAGCAUGCAUCUCCUGAAUGUGCUUAGCAGAAGGUUCCUGGCGGUCAGCAGAAAGAAUCGGGAGCGUUUUGUCCCUGUGAUAAAUGGAGCGCUCUGACAGGUCACUUCUCCCCCCACCCAACCCUCCCCGAACGCCACAAUUUGUUCCCCACAGAGGGCGGGAGACGAAUCUCUGCGGGUGACAGAUUUAUUGGUAUCCACAUGAGGCAAAACACCUCAAAGUCCCUGUAAAGGCCCCGGACCACUGCGGAGAGAGAUUGAACCCCCAUUUAUAUCCAGUUGAAUCCCAGUAAAAUAUUUCAUGUUUCGUUCGGCGUCGCCCCGAAGACCUGGAAACCUGGAUUUCGUGGAGAACAACAUUUAUUUUCACAAACGAUGGCGUCUAACUAUUAAAUGAAAAUCAGAUGAGAUUUGCCUCCCCCUUAGGCCAUCUAAACAAUACAGCACUACAUAACCUGCUCAUCAACGGACCCUCUGCAGCGGAUGGGUGCCGUCAGAAUGAGAGAUGAUAAAAACAUCACAGUAAUCCACAUAACUCCAGUUCAUCAGUUAAUGUCUUCUGAAAGGAAAAGCUGCAUGUUUUUUUUUUUUUUUGUGAAAAUAAUCUAUUAUUAAGGUAUUUUAACUUUAAAUAAUAUCUUCAGUCUAAAAUAUGAGUCCAUAAUCCAUAAUAACACUUCUUCUAGUGACGAAGUCCAUCUCCUGUUGUCCUCUCACACAUUUGUGACCACAAACUCAGUCGCAAGCGUCAAUAUAUAUGGAAAAAUGUGAAUAAAUAUGCUUUCAAUUGUAUGAUAUGGUAUGAAUGGUUUGUUAUGACAGCAGAAAGAAACAUUAUGGAUAAAGGACUCGUAUCUUAAUUAUGGAUUCGUUA